UAAUCUGAAGCUGGCUGAUACCCAGAAUGACUCAUUUGUUAGCAAGGAGCCAUCAUAGAAACUCCACUUGGAAUUCCCUUUUCACCAGAUCACAUGUGAUUUUUGGAGUCUCAUUUGGAUGCUGUUUACUACAAAGAUCCAUGACAACUUUGUCACAUUUGCUUAACCUAGGAAUAGAUGAAAAGUUGCAGUUCAAAAAGGAAUAGGGCCGGGGGUUUAGCCCAGUGGUUCUGCCUCCUGCCUCACGAGCACAAAGUCCUGAGUUUGGUACCCCAAAAAAGGAAUGGAUGAAAAGUUGCAGUUCAAAUUCUGACAUAUUUUCUUUUCAAUUCUCUCCUCAUUUUGCUCCUCUUCCCGAAUAUGAAGACAAUGGUUAGGAAAGCUCACUGAAAGAACUACAAAACUAUACACUGAAAACAAGGUAUUCGCACGAUGAGAUAACACGCCUAUUUUCUUUCACUACCCUAAACCGGCAAAGCUCUGAUUAAGCCACCUGUACCCGAGGCUGGCGACUGAGCAGCAGAGAAACUGACCCGCGUCUCCAUGGCGACGCGUCAUAAAGCUGCAGUGCAGCCUGCUGGGCAAACUCAUGCUGGAACCGCAGCUCGGCUCAAGACUGUCUCUUCCGGGCAGGAUGCCGGUCGAGCCCAAGACUCCAUGCCCCUCUCAAUGUGACCGCAUGCUCCAACCAACAGGUGAUGCCAACUGGGAUUCCUAUGCUACCACAAUGAAGACGGCAUUCACAUAUAAAACAGGAGCAGUACCAGCUUUAAUUCGUCAAAAAAGUAUCAAAAGAUUAGGAUAUACAUACUCUCUUAGUGAUUCUACUCUUAAUCAGACCCAGUACAAUGAUGAAUAUAUUUGGAAAUCAUACUCUAAAGGAAAUUUGAUAAAAAAUGAGACUUCACGAGAAAUGAAGAGCUACAAAUCACAUCCCAAUCAAGGACUUCAAUGGACAUUACCUAAAGGGGAUUCAGUGAUGACACCAAGAAGCUGCCUCCCUUGGAAAAUUCCUGCUUCCAUGGAAGAAAUUCAGAAGGCAAUUGCAGAUCAGUUUAUUUCUUGUACUAAGAGAGACUUUCUGGACCACACCAAAGCUCAGGAGAUUAAGCAAAGUUCUCAGGUGUCCCUGGAAUGGAAAAAGUUCCUUCCCCGACCUCUAGACACUGAAUUUCGACAGAAUUAUCAAAUUCCAGCUAAAAUUCCAGAGUUGCAGGAUUUUAGUUUCAAAUAUGGAUGCUUCUCAAGACUGCCAAUUGCUUCUCAGGGUCUAGUCCCCUCCGUGCUGCACAGCUACAUGAGGAAUCAAGAACUCACGAAGCAGCAGACCAGAUACCAAAGUGACUACGGGAAAGCCUACCUGGACUUCUUAAUGAUCCUGAACUCAUUUACUCCCUCUCAAGUUAAUGAGUACCUUCAGAGUGUUUCCUACAAAGGCAUUCAAGUGGAAUGUUCACAAAAAAGGAAAAUAUAGCUUCAAAAAAUCCCAUUGUGCUGUGAAAUCCUCAAUCCAUUGAAAAAAAAUUUGUCCUAAAAAAGGCUCCAAUAAUGCUAUGCCCACUUAUUAAAAAGAUGUAGAGCUUUACACCUAUUCACCUAUUUCUGAUCUCCUUUUGCCAGUGUUUGAAUUGUUUUGAAUCAACUGCUCCUUUUCCUAGAGCUACUUUAUUUACCCAGUGAGUGAUUGUACUAUCCCAUAGUUUUGUUUUGUUUACUUUUUCCUAUUUGGUGGUACUUUUUUG
rnacentral:lncRNA from 1 species